GUCUUCCGGAGCCUCCGGUCGCGGGUCUAAGAGGACUAGGGCGGGAGCGGCGCGGAAGAAAGAGAGGACUGCGUUUUGGGGCGUUCUGUCAGAGGGGAAGGACGUGUGGAUUGGAGUCAGACUGCACUCCCGCCCUAUUUCUGCAAGUAGAACUCACUGCCUUUAGAAACGGUCUUCUGAGGCUCUGUUGGGAGGCUCUAACUGUAUUACAGAGGACACAUUUUUGUUUGUUUUUAUGUGAAACAUUCAGAAGUUGCUUGCAUCAAGUGCUUUACAAGUACACUGGUUUUCAAACUUUUAAAGUUGAGGAACUGUUUUGAUUUUUGUAAAAAUAGAACUUUACUUGGAAGCCCAAGGUAGGCAGAUGGAGAUGGCGUUUUUAAUUUGCGAAUGUAUUCUAUAAAAUCACAUCUGUACUGAAGUACUAGAAAUAAUUGAGGAUAAGUCAGAUGUGAAGAGCAAGAACUUUUGAAAUAGGAUUACAACUGAAGGUUUCCAUCUUACAUUAGCUUCAGAAAACAAGAAAAUGCUAUCUUUUGUUUGGUUACAUAGUAACAGGAAGUCCUUAUUCAAGCUAGAACUUGCUGAUGUGAACAGUUUCAUAAGGGCUCUCCUUAAAAAGAUUUUGUACACCAAUUUUAAUUGGGAAAUAUACAUAUGAGUAUAUCUCAUGUGCAUAUCUUAAAGAAGAAUGAAAAAUGCCCAGGUACCCACUACAGAGCUUAAGAAAAAAAAAAUGCCAGUAUUUUUGGAGUCUUCUAGAAAGAAGACUCUCUAAAAACAUCUCCUUCCUUCCGUUCACCAUUAUGCUGAAUUUUAUAUUACUCAUUCCGUUGUAUUUCUGAAAAUAGUUACAUAUGUACGAUUCCCUAAAAAUACUAUUUUCCUAGUUUUAUAUUUCAUAUGUGAAUCAUUCUUCAUUUUUCCCCUUUUUUCACUAAUUUAGGUUUUGAGAGGUUUUGAGAUUCGUCUGUAUACAAGUCCAUUUCCCAUAAACUAGACUGGCACAUCGUUACCCUUAUGCUAUUGUUAGACUUUUUAAGUUUUUGCUGAUAAGAGCAUCUGAUUGCUCUUUUAAUUUGCAUUUUCCCUUUUGCUAAAGCCUGUUCUUAAUUUUAUCUCAUUUUUUAUUAAAUUGCUUGCUUUUGAAAAUUAUUUUGUAGAUAAUAUUUAUUUUUUCUAGUUUAAUUCUCUCUUGUAAGUUACAUGUGUUGCAAAUGUCUUCUCUUAGUUUAUGGACUGUCUUUCCAGUUUUUAUGAUGUUUCUUGAUUGCCAAAAGCUUUAUGCUUCAGUAUACAGCUUUUUGAAUUUAAUAAUAUUUUACAUUUUAAUUUUGUGCUUUUUGCUUUCUUGCUUACAAGAUUCUUCCCAACAUAACAUCAGAAACUAUUCUUUCUUCUACAAGUUUAAAAGUUUAAUUGUAGCAACUUUAAACACAGAAAGGACAAAUAAUAAUAUAAUGAACACCCAUGCACUCAACUCUAUGUAUUAAAACAUUUUGCAAACCCCUCCUCCUAAUGAUUCUUGUCUAAAAUUGCCUUAACUAUACUUGGCUCUUUACUCUUUCAUUGAAAUUUUAGGAUGAGCCAGCCAAGAUCCAUUUAAAAAAUUGGAUUUCAAUUGGGCAUUUUAUUCAACUUGAGAAUUGCAUUUAGAGAUUUAGUGAAAUGUCUUCUUAUCUAUGAACAUGGUAUAUUUAUUUUAUUCAGGUACUUUAUGUGCUACUAUGCUUUGUAAUUUAUUGAGUAUCUUUCAUUAUAUUGCCUCCUAGUUUUAUUACUAAAAUUAGAGAUCUCUCUCUUUAAACUCUAUUUUCUAAUUGUUUAGUAACAUUGUAUUAAAAGAGCAUCAAUUUCAAUAUAUUGGUACUAUCUCCAGAAGCUUCGCUGAAUUUUUUUGAUUGCUUGCUUUAUUUCCCUGUUACAUCUUUGGAUGACCUAUAUAGGUAAUCAUAUCAUUUGUAAAUAAGAAUAAUGGUUUCCUUCUUUCUCUCUUUUCAAACCACUUAUUAUUCAGUUUUUUCUUUUAUUUAUUAACAGAGCAUCCAGUGCAAUGUUUAAUGGAAGUAAUAAUGGCAUUCUUGUCCCAUUCCUCACUUUACUGCAAUACUGCUAACAUUUUAUAAUGAUAACAAUGUUUGCUGUGGGUUUUUGGUAAAUACUUUAUCAAGAUUAUUAAGUGUUCUGUUUCCAGUUCAUAAUGUAUUGUUGUUUGCUUUUUUUUAACCAUGAGUGACAGUUUAAUUGAUUAAAUGCUUUUUCUGCACCUAUUGAGAUAAUCAUUGUUUCCUAUUCUAAUAUAUUUAUGGGAAUGAUUAAUACAUUUUCUGAUGUCAAAUGAGAGGGAGAGGAUUUUAUUUUAUAAAUAUGUUAAUGCAUGCUCACUUGCUUAAAAACUGGGUACUUUAUGACUGCCAGUGUAAAUAAAUUAGGCAAGUAGAUUCUCAUUGCAUCACACUCUAUUCAUUGCACAAUGGUGUUUAUAAACUGGAUUAGAAUUGCUGCUAGUGCCUCAUCUUGUAACUCUGACUGCUCUACCUAUCCCCUGCUAUUGUCAGGGAAUGUUGAGAUGGCAAUGAUAGAAAUAAUGUUGUUAAUAUUCUUUUUUUCUUUCACAUCACUUUUUUUCACAGUGUUUUUAUGUAGAAUUUUUUUUUUUUACUUGACAUCACUGGAAAGUCAGCAAUGUUUUGUUGUAAUUAUCACAUAUAGAAUGUUAUUACAUUCUGAAUCUUGAUUUUGUUUUCAAAUAUGGGAUGGCCAUAAUAACUGCCACAUCCAAUUUUUUUAUCUCUCAUAUAUACAUAUAGAUUUAAUUAGUUCAAUAAUUUCCUGAAUGUAAACAAUGUAGAAUUUAGUAAAUUAAUAAGCACUGAUGGGAAAGGUCUCCAAGAUAAAUGAGCAAGUGAUUAGUAUGUUAAUACUUACAAGAGAAAUUCACAUUAUAUUAAUAUAAAUUUUAAAUAUAUAUGUGCAUGUAUGAUAUAUAAAAAUAUCUGAAAGGAUAUAUGCAUUGUUACCUAUAGGGAUGUAACAGAAGGGGAAUGAAGGAGAAUUUUCUUUUUUACUCUCUGUAGUGCUGUUUUCUUUUUUAAUGUGAGCCCAUAUUUAUGUAUUUUUUAAUUAAAAAUACAGCACCAGAAGAAUAUGCCAUUUAUCUAAUAGAUGGUUUCUUGGAAAGAAAAAGAGCUGCAUAUAAAUUCAUUUGUGUAGUAAAUAGACAUUUUAAAUGUGUUGCAUCAGGGGUAAUCAGUCACUGAGAGUCCAAAGACAAAAAUGAUCCAAAGAAGGAAGAAUGGAGAAAAAAAAAAUCCCCCAUUUUUUUUUCUUUUUUGUCAAAUUCUUGUAUGGAAAGAUUCUAACACAAUAAACUAAUAGUAGCCUUUGGUUUAUCCUAAUUAGCAUUUAUUAAAAUCAUAGUCCCCACCCCACAAGAUCCUUCAGGUUAAUCCUAUCUUGCUACUAGAAAAGCGGCAGCCAUUUAUCUUAUCUUUUGGCAUCAGCAUUGAAGAGUCUUCUUUGUAUUUCCCAGACCUAAGCAGUUACACCUUCAACCAUCUUUUUCUUGCCUCUAUUUCAAUGGGCCCUAUUGUUUGUCUCCUGAUUAUUUCAUGUCUAUUUUUCCCUGUCCUAGAAGUUUCAUUAGUAUUUCCUAGCCAUAUGCCAUUUAUACCUUUGCUCAUUACUCCUGUCACUGAAGAUGAGAAAUCAAUUUCUGUCCAUAUCCUCUCCACUUACAUUAAUCAGAGAUAUAUUUUGUAAGCAAUAGAAAUUGAAUCUGGCAAACCUGAAAACAAAUAGACUAUGUAAAAAGUUACAGAAUUUAGCAUGAAGAUGAAGGCUAGUACAUUAGGUAAUGGCAAUGGAUAGGAAACAAGAGGGGCUAGGAAAUUGGGAACACAGCCUCAUAUAACAGUACAGAUUAGGGCACUGCUGCUUUCAGGGCUGCACUGAUCUCAAAGCUGCUGACACCACUAUGAGUGACUUCUCAACUCUGUGUUGUCUACCUCGUUGCUUCAAGAUUCAAAUUUUGGAUUGAGAUCAUUUGAUUAGCUUACUCUAGGCUGUAUGUCUUUUCCUCCUUAGCCUCCUUGAAGUAGAGCCCAGAACUUUUGGCUUUAAUGGGAAAUUGGGCACAAAACACAGAAUACAUUAUUCUUCCAAAACCUGAAGGAUUUUUAGAUUCUAAGUAGUAACAAAAUAAAAUAAACUAAAUCCCCAAACAAUAGUCCAAUUAUCCAUCACAGUAUGCUUCACUGUCCAUAUAAAGUCUACUUUCUCCCUUACUAUUUUAUACUUACUGUUUUAUUCUUUUAAUCCCUAUACAUUUAUAGGGAGUAAUAUGAAACAGCAAUAAUUUCUUAAUUAACUAAAUUGUUCUGUUCUUUUUAUCAUAUCUGGUAUCUGUGAAGGUGUAACUAAGGUAUUCCUUGACACAGUUUGGGAUGCAAAGAAUGUAACUCCAAUAGUGCCAUGAGUAAAACACUAAAGUUUCCACCAAUUUAUAGCAGUAGAUAAUUCAGAGAGCCAAACUCAUUGUUUCCCCUAAUGCUCUGAUCCUUUCACUGUACCUACCAGCAUCCUGACAGCAAGGAAUCCAUUCUAACUCUAUCCCACAUAAAUUCACGAACUAUUAUCAGACCAAGGAAAAAACUUGCCUUGGUAGGUCAUGAUUAAAAUUCACUGGCCUCGUAGUGGUCACAGGUUUUAGGGUGACUUCUUGAUGCAUUAGAUAAGGCUCUUCUAAGAAUUGAUGUACAUAACCCAGAAUUAAACUCAGUGUAGGUAACUUCUAACUAAACAGGCCAAGCCCCUUUGGUGAAAGUUUUUCUCAUUCUCUGAUCCAAGUACUUGCCCAGGUGAUGGCCCUCCUGAGUGACAGAGAUGGGAGAGCGUUCUGCCUUCCCAAAUAAAGAAGGCAGAAAGUUCACCUCUGGUUGAAUGGUGCUGUUAAAUGCUAAUGCAUUGAUUGACUAUAUAUGGAACAUUUCUCCUUAAGGAAACCCUAUCCUGAAGGAAACCCUAUUCUGCAAACAGGCAUGGUGGCAGCUAAGGGAGAUGCAUGUCUUUAGUGGAAACCAGAGCCAGCAGGGAGAUGUAGCACUUCCUGAGUUCGGAAAUGACUCCACCAGUUGAUAUAGGGCCUCUCAGUGUGUUGAAGGAAGGAAGUCCUAUGUUUUAUGAUUGAGCAUUAGUGUCAUACUACAAUCAGCCACUCCCCAAAUGUUGCAUCACUGAAACUCCAGGUUUCACAGAGAAUUUCCUAAGGUAUUAGGUUUGAGUUUCUUCCUUCGUGGGAUGCUAUGGAUUCUUUAACCAAACCAACCUAAUCUUUCUCCUGCCAUAGUACCACCUUCUCCUGCCAUGCAAAAAGAAGCAGUUUGCAAAAGUCAGUAAAAGAAAAAAAAAAUGCCUUGUUAUUUCUCAAAAUGAUGGGCUCACUUGUCUUCUAUUUAUAUAAGAGAGACCACAGUAAUUAUUCUCAACAGUAUCAGCUACAAGGUGAUUUUCUGUGCCUGCGUAUUCUAAGAAGUAGCUGGCAAUUUCUCUUGUUAAAAGAGAAAAAGAAAAAAACAUGCACUUACUCGCUGAUAAACAUUUUUCUGUUAGAGAACCCAAUUAAAUAGCAGGCCUGUGUUGUGUACGUCUUUUAUACACCCUGUAAUGCCAGGUUCCAUGAAGGCAGUUCCAGAGAUAGUCUAAUUCAGAGCUGGGGCUCCAACUCCCAACACAUAGUAGGUGCUUGUAGUAGGAUGAUAAUAAUUCCCAAAGAUACAGAGGUCCUAAUCCUCUGAACCAGUGAGUAAUAAUUCAAAUGGCAAAAGGGACUUUGCAGGUGUGAGGAAGGAUCUUGAGAUGAGAGUUGUCUUGAUGGACCCUAAAUAUAGUCACACAUGUCUUUAUAACAGGGAGGCAAAGGGAGAUUUGACAAAGAAGGCGGCAAUGGGACUACUGAAACAAAAUGCUAGGCUGCUGGCUUUGAAGAUCAGACUAGGGACCAAAAGUAAAGGAACGCAAGCAUUUCAUUCAAGCUCUAAAAGCCAGAAAAGGCAAGAAAAACCUUCAGAAGGGAGAGUGACCAUAAUAAUACCUCAAUUUCAGCCCAGUGAAACUGACUUCAGACUUCUGACCUCCUGAACUGCAGGAGAAUAAAUGUAUGCUUUUUAAGCUACCAAGUUUCUGGUAAUUUGUUCUAGCAGCCACAGGAAACUAAUACAGUUUUCAACAAAUAUGUGUUGAAUAAAUAAAUCAAUGAACAGUAGGGAUUCAAUAAAUAUUACAUUAAUUAUAAGAUGCCCAGAUUGUUUCUUUGAAUGUGAGAGAAACAUCAUUCUUUAAAUGUAUCUGCAAAGUAAAAGCUAAUUGCAUUAAUAUAAACUGAGUUGUUAUUUACCAAUUUUUAUUCUGGCUGUUUUUGUUUUGGUUUGUUGAGAUGGGCAAAUAUGUUAGCUUCAUAAUAAUUGGUUUUAUUUGAUUAUGCUUUUAUUCACAAUGUUGAGGGGUGCCUACUUUCAGAAAACAUAUAUUCAUCACAAAUCUCUACCUCCUAGGAGUUUGCCGUCUACCAAGAAACACAGAGAUAUACAGUGUGUGGUUUAUAUUGAUUAUCUGCUUACCACUGUUUGGAUUACUUUAAUUAUUUUUGUAUAUGUCUAUAUCUCAAAAGAGUUUGUGCCCCUGCAAGGCAGUCUUUUCUGCAUUCAUCUAUUUACAGCAUCUAUCACAAUGCUUUCCACAUAGCAAGACUUCAGAAAUAUUUAGUUGAAUGUAUCUAGUGGCCAGAAAUUCAUGCUUUAUUGACUGAAUAAGGAAUGAAGGAAACACAGUGUAAGAGUAUGUGUGUGGGAGUGUGUGUGUGUGUGUGUGUUUAUACAUAUGUAUGAUAAUUUGGUGGUAACAUUUUGUUGUUCUUCUUUCAAAAUAAAUUCCCUGAGUGUGAUGUCUACUCAUCUGUUAAAAUAAAAAUAUGCAACAAUAAAAGCAAAGCUUAUCAAGUUACCAUUUAUAAUUUUACAGCAAAUAUUUAUAUAUAUAAAUAUGUAUAUAAUAUAAAUUAUUUUUAUAUAAAUAUAUGUAUUCAUAUAAUCUAUAUGUAUUUAUAUAUAAUUUUAUAUGUAUUCUAUAUAUGUGCUAUCUGUAGUAUUUUAUGAUUCAUAGAAAAAGAUAAUGUGCUCCCAAAAAUACGUGCUAAAAAUACAUAAUACAAAUUUCAUACAUACAUACAUACAUUUGCACUGCUUUUGUGGGUAUGGAAUUUGUUAUGAGAUACAGUGUAUCUUUAUUCCACAACAUUGACUUUUUUUACAAUUUGUAUAACUUGAUCAUGAAAAGUAUAGGAAUAAAGAUCAAAAGAAUGUGAAAAUACUGAGUAUAAAAUAUUUUUCAAGUGAAUAUCAAUGAUAUUUCAUUAAAACACAAGAUAAGGAAAUUUUAUUCUGGGUUUAUUUACCAAGGAACAAAAUAUUUUGGCUUCUCUUAAUUUUUUCCCCUUCAAUUGUGAUUUCCUUCUGCAUAUGUUCAAGCUCCCCGGAUAACUCAUCUUCCUUGUUGUUCCUGUGGCAUUUUUGCAUCUAGACGUGAGAUUUAUUUUCCCUCAAGCUCUUACUGUGGGCAGCUCAGUGGUAUUCCCUAUAUUCUAAUAUGUAGCUCCAAAACACUUACUGCCCGGCGGUACCUGGCUUAGGCUACUUAUUAACUUCCUGUCUAAUUUCCACAGUCUUACGUCUGCUGGAACAUUGUUGGAUUUUGGCAACUCAUAGAAUUUUAGACUAUUAAGAGACAUUAAGUUUGAGCUGGACACUGUUUAUUUUACUUAGUAGAACAAUCUCUUCUACAACAUUCCAAACAGGUGGUAGCCAUACAUUGAACAGCCAAGAAUAGGUGACUGAUUCUCACAAAGUCAGGACAAAUUGCUGCAAAGUUUUUAUCAAAAUAAUUCUAAAUGAAUUUCCUUAUUUCUUCCAUACAGGUUUCCUAGCUCUCUUUAUUGAGCUUUACAAAAUACCGUAAUACCUCUUCUACAACAAAAAUAAAUAAAUGAAUAUGUUUCUAACUUUCUUUCAGAACAUUUUGACCCCUUUAAAACUUCUCUGCAACUUUGCAAAACAUCUUGAUAAUAUCUUUAAGUGUGACAGCCAGAAUAGAAUAAAGAAACGAGUUGCUGGUACAGAAUACAAUCUAUUUUAGAAAAUAUUGUCAGUGCAACCUGGUAUGCCCAGUCAGGAGGAAAGAAAAGGCACUGAUUCUUCAUAUCAACCCUACUGUAAAUUUUACGGGGAAAAUUUCUGAUGAACACAAUUCUGGGUGAACUAACUAAUGUGGCUACACAGCCUCUCUCCCACACAAAGAAAUGCUAAAUCAGGUGUAAUUUUAAAAUAUUUGGUUUUACUAUGUAGCCUGAGAGGGAGAGAGAGAAAAAAUGAGAGAGAAAAAAAUUCUAAGUGUCAAGAACAAGUAGAAAAUUUGAAGCCAGUGACUUGGUGGAGAAGAUUAGUCGUGGAUGAAAGACUCUUUCCUAACUUCUGAAACUGUAAUAUUCAGCCAAGGAAAUGAGACAACUUAUUCUUGCAUCAUAAGGAUUUUUUAAAAACUGGACCGAAUUACAAAGAGAACUUGCAAAGUUAAUAAUCAUAUUGAGAUUGGUAACAUGCUUCUACCAGAAAUAAUAGGUAAAGUAUAAAACUAUUAGAAUAUAGAUUAUUUCAACGAAGCACUUAAGGGAAUUUAUUUAUUGUACUUACAUAUCAUCUUGUACCUGAAAAAAUAAUUCACUUUAUUUUAAGAAAACAUUAGUAUGUACAAAACUUUAGCACAUUCUAGGCCACUAAAGAUUGUUUCAGGAAAUACCAAAUAACAACAUAUAAACUGUAUUCUUUGACAAAUAUUUAAUGAAAUUAAAAAACAAUAACAAAACAGUAGCCAUUCAUCAGGUAUAGGAAUGAAAUGACACAGACCAAUGAUUCAUGGAUUAAAAAAGAACUAAAAGUAGAGAUUAUAUUUAGAAAAGAAUUAUUUUAAAAGGGCUUCAUGUUAAAAUAUGAGCAUUAAUGUAAACCCAAAAAGUCAAAAAAAGGGAGAAAUAGUGAUAACAGGAGAAAGUAAUAAAAUAGAAAAUAAAGAUACCAGAGUCUUUAAAAAAAUAAACUAUUAAAAAUAAAUAGGCCUCCAACAGAAAUGAGGGGGAGGGCAAAAAGAGAAAAGGAACAAAUAAUAUCAGGAAUGGAAAAGGAGUAAUAAAAGUACUGUAAGCUUUUAAAAAGUCAUCAGAGAAUGCUAAGAAUAAAUGCCAGAACAUUUGAAAACUUAGAUGUUAAUUUUUUAAAAAUGUAUAAAUGAUGAAAGCACACUCAAGAAUAGGAAAACUGGCCAUGCACGGUGGCUCACACCUCCCAGCACUUUGGGAGGCCUAGGCGGGUGAAUCACGAGGUCAGGAGUUAGAGACCAGCCUGGCCAAGAUGGUGAAACCCCAUCUCUACUAAAAAUAGAAAAAAUUAGCUGGGCAUGGUGGCGGGCACCUGUUAAUCCCAGCUACCUGGGAUGCUGAGGCAGGAGAAUCACUUGAACUGGGGAGGCGGAGGUUGCAGUGAGCCGAGAUGGCACCACUGCACUCCAGCCUGGGUGAUAGUGCAAGACUCCGUCUCAAAAAAAAAAAAAAAAAAAAAAAAAGGGGGAACCUGAACAGACCAAUAAAAAUAUAUAAAUUAAAGAAUGGGUCAUUAAUCAAACAUGUACUCACACUAACCAAAAUAGUCAUCAUAAUAGUAUCAGCUGCAGAGGCAAUAGUGUGAAUGAUAAUAUCAAGAACCCAUUAGGCAUACAAAGUUUUACAAGAGGUAACUAAAAAAUAUUCAGGGAAACAAAAUAACUUUGUAUCUCAGGCAAAUAGGGCUAAAUUUUACCUGAGUGGUGGGUAUAUGCAUUUUAUAGUUUUAGCAAAUUAAAAAUAUUUUGUAGUUUAAAAACUAAAGGAAGAUCUAGGAGGAAUUUGGGAACACUUGAUAAGCAAGAAUAAUUUUAAGUAUAUUCUCCAUGAAAGACUUUUCUAAGACUUGAUUGGAGACUUAGCUUAUCUCAGUGCAUAUUAGCUAUUAGGUGUUCAUAAAUUAUCCCAAGACACCUUUCUGUUUUCAUUUAGGUCGCUUAGAAACUAGUACUCUCAGAACAUGGAGUGGAAGAGGUGAUCAUGGUAGCAACAGACUGAGGAGUGAAUUUGAACUUGAGUUUUGUCUUGCUGUUUUUCAUUGAUGGAACCCAACUGGAAAUCAGAAUACAAGGGCACUCGAUUAAUUCAGUUCACAGAGGACUUCUUCCUGUGGCACGGAGCAUGGUGGGGAAAGGUACAAAGUAGACCUCGAGAAACAAACAGCAUGGUGACCAGUCACAAAAUGUAUACAGAAAAUUAACAGAUUUUUUUUCCUUGAAGAGAUCAAAUCUAAAAAACAGUAUAAAAAUAAGAAUGUGCAGGAUCUAUAUAAAGAAAUCUAUACUCUACCAAGGUACCUGAAAAAAUACACAGAUAAAUGAAGGCUUAUGGCUUGAUUUUAGGUAUAAAAAGUUAAUGUUUAAAGACAUCCAUUUAUCCACCUGGAUAAACAUGGUCAUUAUUUUUUAAAUCAAAGUCCCAAGAGCUCCAUUUCACAACCUGAAACUAUUUAAAAUCAUGUUAGAAAAUUAAAUAGUAAGAAAAUACUAGAAAAAAUCAGAAGAAUGAGUAGAAUCAUAGAGCUACAAUAAUUAAAAUAGGAUGGUUUGGGGGGAAGAUCAGUAAGUUAGAUCAAUGAAAUUGCAUAGAAAAGCAAGAAAUUGAUUAUUAUAUUUCUAUGGGCACGUGAAAACUGUGGCAUUUCUAAUCACAGGGGAACUUAUAGAUUAUAAGAUAAAAGACAUUAAGCCUAUUGGAUAACUAGUUUAGAGAAAAGAAAAUUCAGUUACGAUCUGACCUCAAGAAAAAAAUGUAAAUAGAUUAAAUAUGUAUAUGUAAAAUCAAAAAAAUCAUGAAUAUAUAAAUAAAAUUCGAUAAGUGUUUCUAUAUUUCAGAUGUGGGUCUAUACGGUAAUUUUAUAAUAAAUCAAUUAAAAGAUAUACUAAAAUCAUUUUAACUGGGUGAAAACCAUUUUCACUCACUUAAUUUUUUAAAAUGGUGAAAUCCACUCAUAAACAGUAGCCAGAAAUCAAAGUCAGAAGGCUAAUAUGUAUUUAAAAAGCUAAAGGGUUAGCUUUAGGAGUGUCCAACCUAUGGAGUCACACAGGACCAUAGUUAAUAAUGGCCUCAUACUUGGUUUGAUAUUCUGCUGUCACAGUCUUGAAAUCCUUAACAAUUUUUGAACAAAGAGCCCUGGAUUUUCGUUUUGCACUCAGUCCUGCAAAUUAGGUAGCGAUCCUAGUUAACCUUCCCAUAUACUGAGUGAAAUACAAACUAAAACCUGAAUUUAAAAAUUGUUUUUAGGUUGAAAACAGUAAAAUAAAAACACUUAUUUUUUUUACUUGACAACAUCAAGAAUGCAGAAAAAGAAACACUCAUAUACCUUUAGUUCAACCAUUUGCAAAUACUCAGGAAUCAUAUAUCAAAAUUUAAAGUGAAUACUUUUUAUUGAGCAUUUUUUUCUACAGGAAUACAUCUACAGGAACUAAUUGAACCCAUACAUAAAAAUCAGGAUAUUUAUCACAGUAUUGCUAAUAAUAACAAAAAUAUGUGAACCAAUCUAAAUGUUCAUAAAAAUUGGUUAUAUAUUGAAGGAUACAUUUCUGUAGUUUCAUUUAUGCUUCAACCUUAAAUGUGAUAUAAAUAUACGUAUAAACACACACAUUUGAAAUGUAAAGAUGUACAGUAGAGUGAUAUGGAAAGAUACUCAUGAUUCAUUGUUACGUGGAAAGCCAACUAUGUAACAGCAAAGAUAGUGAAAUGCUACAGGUAGCUGUACAGAACUUUUUAUAUAUAGGUAUAAAAAUGUGUGAAAAGAAAAACAAAGAUAUUUUUAUCCAGAAUUACAGGAACUUUUAUUUUCUUGUUACAAUUUUAGAUAGCCUUCCUUUUAACAAUGGGCUUUUAUUUCUAUUAAAAUAGAAAAAUAAAUCAGCUUGAACUAAUAAGAACUGGGUCAUUUAUGGCUGUGAUCAUUUAAAUAUUUAUAUAAAUAAUUUCCAAAAAUAGUUAUUUUUUUUAUAAAACAAAGGAAUUAAUGUAAACAGUUUGGAAAGAAAAGUUAAAUAACUUUAAAAAGUUAUGUUGUUGCAAACAUGUCAAUUAUACAGCUAAAAAUUGGGGGGUGUAAGUAUAAGUAUACUAGUUUCCUAAUCUUAAAAAUCAGCAAUUACAUCUAUACUGCUUCAGCCCUGACACAGAUAGGUAGAAGAAUAUAGGUUUCAUUUUAUUUUUGCAAAGCAUAAAGGCAGUCAAAUUUACAAAGAUUUGGAGAAGCAUAGAAAAUAAUUUCAGAUGGUACAUGAUUAUGAGAUAGAAACGUGAGGUAGUAUGUCUUGAACUGGAGUGAAGAAUAGUACUUAAUGUGAAAAAUAAUAAUUUAUACAGAUUCAAAUUCAAUUAAAAAGGAAACCAUAUCACACUUAAUGAACUGCAGAAAAUUUUAGUCUUUCAUCUAAAAUGAGAACACACAGAAUGUAGCUGAAUCCAGACGAUGUAUUACAGUCAUUGAGUUAAUUCUCUAUGCUGAUUAAAAUAAAGACAUAAUCUCCCAUAAAUUGCUUCCUGAUAUUCCUUUAAGUUGUUUUACUCGAACGAGAUUUAAGAUGGAGAAAUAUAGCAGACAUCUAAAUGCAGGACCACCUGCAGGUUGAGUCUCAGAAGUCUGAUGAGUAGAGAUACUUUAGUCAGGUGUCUGAUGCAAAACAUCACAUUUCUAUCAUCAUUUUCAACUGGAAAGGGGCUUCUUGGAGGUAAUCUAGGACUGUAUGGUAGUCAGAAUGAAAAGUAACAUAAUACAAAUUUCAUCUGUAUAUUUGAACUAUUAAAAUUUACUUUAAAAAAUUAUUGGAUAUUUAGUCAUCUUGCCAAAAUCACUUAAAGUAUAUUAAGUUAUUUUAUGCACUCUUUGGAAACAUUUUUACCUAUGUAAUCAAAGUGGUAGAAUAAGAAACAUUAUAUAAAAAUUCAAAAGUUGAAUCCACUUUGUCUGUAUUCAUUAUAUUGACAGCUGGAUAAAAUAAAAUAAUUAAAGAACUUAUGCCUUUCAGAACAUUAACUAACAGUUUCUAACUGCUUCAGUUAUUCAAGAUAAGUUCUGGAUAUCUAUACAGCAUAGUGACCAUAGGUAGCAAUACUAUUUUAUUGUUAAAAUUUAUUAAGAUAGUAGGUCUUAUGUUAAUUCUUUCUAACACACAAACACACACAGAUUAAUAAAAAGGAAGUGGGAAGAAACUUUGGGAGGUGAUGGAUAUUUAUAACCUUGAAGAUGGUGAUGCAUCAUGGAUGUAUACUUACUGCUAAACUUAUGAAGUUGUAUAUGCUAAAUACGUACAGCGUUUUACAUGUCAAUCAUAUGUCAAUAAAGUGGUUUAAAACAAAAACAGAAACAAAUCUACAUUAAUUGUAAAUGCUUAUAAGUUAUCAAAAGCAAUACUGAAUUAACGAGUGGUGAUUUGUGAAAAAUGUUUUUUUUUAAUGAAGCUGACCCUAUACAUAGGUGGAUGCUUUAGUGACAAAAUUUGUUGAUGCUUGCGAAAACUUCAGACGAUAGGUGGCCAAAUGAAUAAAAAACAAAACUGCUGCUGAUUUUCUUUAGUGGGUUUCUGUAGAUCAUAAGCAUAAGGAGUAGCCGUUGUGUUUUUUAAAAAAUUCAGAUACUCAUACUGAAUGGGCAAAAGCUGGAACCAUUCCCCUUGAAAACAGGCACAAGACAAGGAUGCCCUCUCUCACCUCUCCUAUUCAGCAUAUUGGAAGUUCUGGCCAGUACAAUGAGGCAAGAGAAAGAAAUAAAGGGUAUUCAAAUAGGAAGGAGGAAGUCAAACUUUGUUUGCACAUGACAUGAUCCUGUAUCUAAAAAACCCUAUAACUCAGCCCCAAAGCUUCUUAAGGUGAUAAGCAACUUCAGCGAAGUCUCAGGAUACAAAAUCAAUGUCCAAAAAUUGCUAGCAUUUCUAUACACCAACAACAGUCAAGCAGAGAACCAAAUCAUGAAUAAACUCCCAUUCACAGCUGCCACAAAAAGAAUAAAAUACCUACGAAUACAGCUAACCAGGGAAGUGAAGGACCUUUUCAAGGAAAACUACAAACCACUGCUCAAAGAAAUCAGAGAUGACACAAAUGCAAAAACAUUCCAUGCUCGUAGAUAGGAAGAAUCAAUAUCGUGAAAAUGGCCAUAUUGCCCAAAGCAAUUUAUAGAUUUAAUGCUACUUCCAUUAAACUACCAUAGACAUUCUUCACAGAAUUAGAAAAGAACUAUUUUAAAAUAUGGAACCAGAAAGGUGCCAGAAUAGCCAAGACAAUCCUAAGCAAAAAGAAGAAAGCUGGAGGCAUCAUGCUGCCUGACUUCAAACUAUCUACAAGGCUACAUUACCCAAAACAGCAUAGUCCUGGUACAAGACUAGACACAUAGACCAAUGGAACAGAGUAGAGAACCCAGAAAUAAAACCAAACACCUACGACCAUCUGAUCUUUGACAAACCUGACAAAAACAAGAAAUGGGGAAAGGAUUCCCUAUUUAAUAAAUGGUGCUGGGAGAACUGGCUAGCAAUAUGCAAAAAAAAUGAAACUCGAACCCUUCCUUAUACCAUAUACAAAAAUCAACUCAAGAUGAAUUAAUGACUUAAAUGUAAAACCCAAAACUAUAAAAACCCUAGAAGAAAACCUAGGCAAUACCAUUCAGGACAUAGGCAUAAGCAAAGUUUUCAUGACAAAGAUCCAAAAAGCAAUUGCAACAAAAGCAAAAGUUGACAAAUGGGAUCUAAUUAAAGAGAUUCUGCACAGCAAAAUAAACUAGCACAGCAAAAUAAACUAUCAACAGAGUGAACAGACAAUGUACAGAAUGGGAGAAAAUUCUUGUAAUCUAUUCAUCUAACAAAGGUCUAACAUUCAACAUCUACAAGGAACUUAAAACAAAUUUACAAGAAAACAACAGACAAGCCCAUUGAAGAGUGAGCAAAGAACAUGAACAGACACUGCUCAAAAGAAGACAUGCAUGCGAUCAACAAACUUAUGAAAAAAAGUUCAACAUAACCUAUCAUUAGAGAAAUGCAAAUCAAAACCACAAUGAGAUACUAUCUUACACCAGUUAGAAUGACUAUUAUUAAAAAGUUGAAAAAACAACAGAUGCUGCCAAGGUUGUGGAGAAAAAGAAACACUUCUACACCGUUGGUGGGAGUGUAAACUAGUUCAACCAUUAUGGAAAACAGUGUGGCGAUUCCUCAAAGACCUAGAGUCAGAAAUACCAUUUGACCCAGCAAUCCCAUUACUAGGUAUAUACCCAACGGAAUAUAAAUUAUUCUAUUAUAAAUAUACAUGCAGAUGUAUGUUCAUUGCAGCACUAUUCACAAUAGCAAAGAGAUGGAAUCAACCUAAAUGCCCAUCAAUGAUAGACUGGAUAAAUAAAAUCUGGUACAUAUAUACCAUGGAAUACCAUGUAGCCCUAAAAAUGAACCAGAUCAUGUCCUUUACAGGGACAUAAAUGAAGCUGGAAGCCUUUAUCCUCAGCAAACUAUCACAGGAACAGAAAACCAAAUACCACAUGUUCUCACUUAUACGUGGGAGCUGAAUGAUGAGAACAAAUGAACACAUUGUCAGGGGAACACACACUGGGGCCUUUCGGAGGGUGGGGGUAGGAGGAGGAAGACCAUCAGGAAGAAUAGCUAAUGAAUGCUGAGCUUAAUUCCUAGGUGAUUGGAUGAUCUGUGCGGCAAGCCACCAUGACACACGUUUACCUAUGUAACAAACCUGCACAUCCUGCACAUGUACCCCAGAACUUAAAAUAAAAGUUGGAAAAAAAAUUCAGAUGUUUAGGCCCUUCUUCAGAAUUACCAAAUAGAAAUUUGUGGGGUAAGACCUAGGAAUCUGAUUUUUUUUGCCCAAACCUUACCAAAUCCUUGAAGUAGCCUUGUACAUUAACCUCUGGGAAGUGCUGCUUAUAGGGUCAUAGGCAAGAAUCAAGGGGAGAGGAAAAAGGAAAGUCAUGGAGGAGUAAACAAGGGUCAUCCGUUGGUUCUUUGAGAGCAGUUGACUUCAGAUGUCUCAUAUGCCAUGCUACAUUAAGUCUCAAUUCUUUGAAGACAACAUGAUGAGAGUUAAAUGGAGAGUUAGGUGCACAGAAUAGGGUGAGGGUGGAGGGUGCAGGAACCUGCUUUAUCAGCAGUUUUGCAGACAAAACUUAGGAUGGAAAGUUAAGAAAUUUCAUUUAUAUUCUUACUUCCUACAUGAAUUUUGAAAAAAAAAUCAUUUCACUGUUAGCUCUAAAGGAAUAAAAAAUAAUAGUUGCACCCUUCCAGCCUCAGAUAAAUAUUCAUAUGAACAAUUAAGAAAUAUUUCAAAGAACUCUGGCAUAUCUUCAGAAAUGAGACUCUCUUCACAGGCCUACAACUUGUUAUUAUAUUGUUCCCUUUCACUAAACUAUUCUACGCCCUCUCCCUUUUCUUGCAUGUGAAGUAAAUAUUGAUAGAUUUCCUCACAAACUAACACUAUUUUCACAGAAUACCUAAUAUUGUCACUAGACAUAUAAUUAAUAAGAAAUAUUUAAUAUUAUUGGUAAAUUGCUAACAUUUUAUUUCCACUUCAUGUUCACCCCAAUUUUUCUUUAUUGAGCAAAUAUGCUUGAGUCUCUGUUCAUUCAAGAUACUGGUAGACCCUAGUCAAGAAGUGAUGUGCUAAACAGACAUCAUCAUGAAGUUUACAGGAUAAUAUCAGAAACAAACAUGAAACAGAUAUUCAAACAAAUACAUUAUUCAAAAAGUUAAUGCUGCCAACAAAAAGUAUAGGGUGCUCUCAGAGAAUCUAAUCUGCAGGGUGCUAAUAGAGUAAUCUAAUAAGGAAAUCAGUAAGGAACCUC
rnacentral:lncRNA from 1 species